AUCAGCGUAUUGUGGCCGCACUUGGAAAGAAAAUAUGUUUUAGAUCUACACUUCGUUGUCAAAUUACUCGUAAUUACCACCGUCCUGUUGUUUUAAUUUUCAGUUAUUUCCUCUCCGACAAAUGCCCAGCAUUUGGGCGCACUUUUAAAUUAAUAUCAGGAUAUAAAUUAUGUCUAACAUGGUAACUGGCACUGUAAAGUGGUUUAACGAAGCGAAAGGUUUUGGUUUUCUUGAACAGCAAGGUGGAGCAGACGUAUUUGCACACUUUAGCGCAAUUGUAAGUAAUGGUUUUAAAACCCUUGCUGAAGGCCAAGCGGUUCAGUUCUCUAUUACUCAAGGCCCUAAAGGCCCGCAGGCAGAGAACAUUACUGUUAUCUAACAGUAAGCUUUACUAGCUUUCAAAGAAACGCACCUUCGGGUGCGUUUUUUAUU
rnacentral:sRNA from 1 species